rnacentral:rRNA from 1 species
AUUGAACGCUGGCGGCAGGCCUAACACAUGCAAGUCGAGCGAGCGGCGGACGGGUGAGUAAUGUAUGUGGACUGCCCGAGAGAGGGGGAUAACUCCUGGAAAAGGUGGCUAAUACCGCAUACUCGAGGAUACACCAUAUUGGAUUAGAUAGUUGGUAAGGUAAUGGCUUACCUAGGCGACGAUCCCUAGCUGGUCUGAGAGGAUGAUCAGCCACACUGGGACGUGGACACGGCCCAGACUCCUACGGAGGCAGCAGUGGGGAAUAUUGCACAAGGGGCGCAAGCCUGAUGCAGCCAUGCCGCGUGUAUGAAGAAGGCCCUAGGGUUGUAAAGUACUUUCAGUCGGGAGGCGUUACCGACAGAAGAAGCACCGGCUAACUCCGUGCCAGCAGCCGCGGUAAUAC